rnacentral:rRNA from 1 species
UACAGAGGGGGCAAGCGUUAUUCGGAAUUAUUGGGCGUAAAGGGCGCGUAGGCGGCUUUGCAAGUGACGGGUGAAAUCCCUCGGCUUAACCGAGGAACUGCCUGUCAAACUGCAUCGCUUGAACAUCGGAGAGGUGAGUGGAAUUCCGAGUGUAGAGGUGAAAUUCGUAGAUAUUCGGAAGAACACCAGUGGCGAAGGCGACUCACUGGACGAUUGUUGACGCUGAGGUGCGAAAGCGUGGGGAGCAAACAGG